GGGUCCUUGGGCAAGACCCUUCAAGCUACCGCCUACCUCAUAUCAUGAGAGACAAUGAACCACAUGAGAUACCGGCUCAGACGUCGCCCGGUCUAACAAGGUCUGCGUCAGGUGUUGGGGAACCAGAGCACCUUGGCGAGAAGUGGGCUACUGGAACAAGAAAGAAAUGGCUGAGAUGCGAGAACAAGGUCCUGUUGGAAUGCUACUACUCAAGUAACCCUAGUCAGAGGGGUUACAUGAAUAGAAUGUGUGGCGAAUGGGAACGGAGAAACCCACAUUCAAGGCUGACGGCGAAGCAACUAGUAGCUCAGUGUUCCAACAUCCACAAACGGCAACUGCUAUCACAACUUGAGAUUGACGAGAUACAACACAAAUGCUACGGCAAGGGGGAGCCAGGACGCCAGGUCAGAGGGGAGGUUUCACCAUCUCCCCAACCGGAAAUUGGGUACGAAGCCCCAAUAAGCACAGAUACGCUGAGCGAGGCAGCGACUGACCUGAAAGAUAAGAUCAUGGCGAGAUUGAACAGGCAACCCCAAACCCCACUACAACGGCUAAGUGAAGUACCAUCAGAAAGUCUCAUGGAAGAUGUGAAUGCAGCAUUGAGAGCGAUCCCUACCACAACAAUCACAGAAACCAAUGAGCUGAUAUACGCUUCAGCAUCAGUGAUCCUAGAGAUGCUUGGCUAUAAGAGCAACCAUGGGAGCCAUGAGAAACAAUACCCACCAUGGAAACGAAGGUUGGAGGCAAGAAUCAAGGCAGCUCGGAGGGAAGUGAGCCAAAUGACAGAGGCCCAGAGAGGUGCAAUGAAAAGACCAAUGCCUAAGAGGUACAGCCAGAUGACCAUACCUGAAGCACUCAAAACUGCUAAGCAAAGGCUACAAGCCUUGGCCAGCCGCCUAAAGAGAUACACCAGAGAUAACGAAGCCAGACGAAUAAACUGGCUGUUCACAACACAACCUGCGAAAGUGUACUCUCAAUGGCAGGGUAAUAACAACAGAGCAGACCCACCAAGGCUGGAAACUGAACAGUACUGGAAGGGUAUAUGGGAAAGGGAGGCAUCACACAACAGUGAUGCACAGUGGCUGGUGGAUCUGAGGGAAGACCACAGCAACCUCCCUGAACAGAAUCCAGUGACUAUCACAGUGGCAGACAUCCAACAUAGAGUCUCAGCUAUUCAAUUCAAUUCAAUUCAAUUUUAUUUAUAUAGCGCCAAAUCACAACAAAGUUAUUUCAAGGCACUUUACAAAGUAAGGUUUAAAACCUCACAACUAAACCCAACAAAUCCCACAUACAGCAAGCAAUUUGACAGCAACAGUGGAGAGGAAAAACUCCCUCUCUAACGAGGAAGAAACCUCCAGCAGAACCAGACUGGAUGUGGGCGGCCAUCUGCCUCGACCGGUUGGGGUGAGAGGAUAGAGAGAGAGAAAAGCACAGCAACAGCAACAAGCAACAACAAGCAACAACCGAGCACAGGCAGGAUGGUAGGACCAGGGUCUGGAUGCAGGCAGGAUGGUUGGAUCCGCAGCUGCCCAUCACAGACACCAAACUUUGAGUCCAAUGAUACCUGUAGGUGAGGACAGAGUGGGAGAGAGAGUGGGGGGAGAAAGAGAAAGAGAGAGGAGAGAAGCACAACUACUGAAGAGAAAGAGACAAGGUUAGUUAUACAUGGGACAAUGAUGGGAGGUUAUUGGACAGAGGAGGUAGAAGGAAACAGAGGAGCUCAGUGUAUAAAUUAAGUCCCCCAGCAGUCUACUGAGGCCUGUUUGUGAGAUAGUCCAUGAACCACUCUGUCAGAUGAAGGUCCACACCAGCCUCCUCCAGUUUGUGUUUCAGAAGCACCGGCUGGAUGGUGUUGAAGGCCCUGGAGAAGUCAAAGAACAUGAUCCUCACAGUGCUGCCGGGCUUCUCUAGGUGGGAAAGAGCUCGAUGUAGGAGGAAGAUGACUGCGUUGUCUUCUCCUAUGCCGUGUCGGUAGGCGAACUGCAGCGGGUCCAGGUAGGUUCCCACCGCAGAGCGGAGGUGACCCAGGACCAGUCUCUCCAGUGUCUUCAUCAGGUGUGAUGCUGCUGGGGUCUUUGACGUGCGGUGUCUUGGGCACUGGUACCACGCAGGAGGUCUUUCAGAGCUGUGGUACCACCCUCAGCUUGAGGCUCAGGUUGAAGACAUGCUCCAUAACUCCACACAGUUCGCCUGCACAGGACUUUAGGAGUCUGGAGCUGAUGCCGUCUGGUCCAGCUGCUUUCCUGGCCUUGAUCUUCCUGAGCUCACUUCUCACCUGGGUGCUGGAGAAGGAUAGGGGUUGAGGGAGUGUCUCAGUGUGGUGUGAAGUGAGGGGGUGUUGUUGGGAUGAGUCACCAGUCGUCAGGGCUGAGGGUAGAGGGCUUUGUGUAAAGGUGUGAAGGGCUGUGGGGGCUAGUAAUCCAGUGAUAUGAGGUGACAAGAGGUUUGGAGGCAGCUGCUGGGAGGUGUGAGUGGGUGCUUGGUCAAACCUAUUUAAGUAUGAGUUCAGCUCGUUGACCCAGCUCAGGUCCCCCUCAGCCUGUGGGUGUGGAGCUUUGAAGCCUGAGAUGGUUUUCAGGCUCCUCCACACCUCACUGACAUUGUUCUGCUGCAGCUGUUCCUCCAUCUUCCUCCUGUAGCUGGACUUCCCCUCAGGGAUUUUCCUCCUCAGCUCCUUCUGCACCCUCCUCAGCUCCUCCCUGUCUCCUGAUUUAAAUGCUCUCUUCUUCUCCUUUAGCAGAGCUUUAAUAUCAGAGGUGACCCACGGCUUGCUGUUGGUGAAACACCGAACCCGCCUGGAGGGAACAGUGUUUUCACAGCAGAAGUUUAUGUAGUCCGUUACACAGUCUGUUAUUGCGUUUAUGUCCUCCCCAUGUGGGUCGCAGUGCUCCGUCCACACAGGGGUGUUAAAACAGUCCCUGAGAGGCUCGUCGCUCUCAGCUGUCCACCUCUUCACUGUGCGGGGUUCUGAUUUUAACUAUAUUUCUAAGGUGGAAGUAGGCGGUUCUGAAGAUUUGUUUAAUGUAUGAUGUAAAAGAGAGAUCCUGGUCAAAGAUGACACCAAGGUUCCUCACAGUAGAAUUUGAAGCUAAUGUUAUGCCAUCCAGGGUGGCUAGCUGACUCAAUAGUGUCUCUCAGAUUUUUAGGACCAACAACAAGAAUCUCGGUUUUAUCUGAGUUUAGUUGAAGGAAGUUUUGGGACAUCCAGGAUUUGAUGUCUUUUAAACAACCCUGAAUUUUGACUAGUUGUUCUGUUUCAUUUGGUUCCAAGGACAUAUAUAGCUGAGUAUCAUCUGCAUAAAAAUGAAAAUUAAUAGAAUGCUUUCUAAUAAUCUCACCUAGAGGAGACAUGUAUAGGCUAAACAGAAUUGGAACCAGCACAGAACCCUGUGGUACUCCAUAGCUAAUCCUUGUGCAUGUGGAGAAUUCAUCAUUAACAUGAAGAAACUGGAAUCUGUUCAACAAAUAGGAUUUAAACCAUCCCAAUGCUGUUCCUUUAAUCCCAAUUCUAUGUUCUAGUGUCUGUAAUAGAAUGUUAUGAUCAAUUGUAUCAAAUGCAGCACUAAGAUCUAACAGGACAAGGACAGAAACUAGACCAUUGUCCGAAGCUAAUAGAAGAUCAUUAGUGACUCUAACCAGAGCUGUUUCUGUGCUAUGAUGUUUUCUAAAUCCUGACUGAAAAUCUUCGUACAGGUUAUUCCCACUCAGGUGGUCAGAUAAUUGUUUAGCCACAAUUUUUUCCAAAAUUUUGGAAAUAAAGGGUAAAUUUGAAAUGGGCCUAUAGUUGGCUAGUCGUCCAGGGUCCAGGGUUGUUUUUUUCAAUAGAGGUUUGACCACAGCCACCUUAAAAGCCUGUGGUACAUAGCCUAGUUGUAAAGAUUGGUUGAUUUGAUUUAAUAUGGACGAGCUGAUUAAAGGUAGAACUUCUUUGAGUAAUCUGGUUGGGAUUGGAUCUAAAAGACAAGUGGACGACUCGGAAGAGUUAAUUUUUUAAUUUUUUUUUUUUUGUUCUGUCCAGCAGUUUAGCAAGCAGCAUAUAUUACGCUGCUUGCUAAAUUCAGUGUAAUAUAUAUAUAUAUACUCUUCCUGAUUUAUGGUUUAUUUAAUGGUUUAUUUAGCUAAUCCAAAAUGUGUGUGAUGUUGCUGUGUUGGUGGACAGGUUAGGUUUCUGCUUUAGGCUAACACAUUCAUAACUAAACAACUGUUGUACUGUGGUUUACCUUGGAGAUUAAUACUAAUAUCAAUAAUAGUGUUAAGGUAUGUGCACAUACUCAUACAAACAUAUACAUAUCAUAUACAUCUACAUGUGCAUUGUUAUACAUAUCCCAUACUACUUAAUAAAAGUCAUGAC